rnacentral:misc_RNA from 1 species
GAUGAAGAACGCAGCGAAAUGCGAUAGGUAGUGUGAAUUGCAGAUGUAACGUGAAUCAUCGAAUCUUUGAACGCAAAUUGCACUCUCUGGUAUUCCGGGGAGUAUGCCUGUUUGAGGGUCGCCAAAUCAACAUCGAAAUUCAUUUGCUUUUGUAAAUGUUUAUCGGAUUUGAGCCGUCUUUUUAUUUUUUUUAAAGUGGCUUAAAAUGUAUUUUUUUGGUAUCGAAAAACGUUAUUUUACGAUCCAAUCGAUCAAAAAACAAACGUUUCGAAUGCCGUCUUUUAAUGUAAUACGUUUGACUGUGUCAUACAAUCAUGGUUUCAUUCGUAUACGAGUUUAAUUUUUGACCUCAAAUCAGGUAAGAACACCCGCUGAACUUAAGCAUAUCAAUAGCGGAGGA